UAGGGAAUCUUCCACAAUGGGCGAAAGCCUGAUGGAGCAACGCCGCGUGUGUGAUGAAGGGUUUCGGCUCGUAAAACACUGUUGUAAGAGAAGAAUGACAUUGAGAGUAACUGUUCAAUGUGUGACGGUAUCUUGCCAGAACGGAACGGCUAAAUACGUGCCAC
rnacentral:rRNA from 1 species